rnacentral:misc_RNA from 1 species
GGAAGUAGAAGUCGUAACAAGGUCUCCGUUGGUGAACCAGCGGAGGGAUCAUUAUCGAGUUUAUAACUCCCAAACCCUAUGUGAACUUACCACUUGUUGCUUCGGCGCGCGCUUCGGUGCCGCCGAGGACACUUAAACUCUUUGUUUUUAUGAGCAUUUCUGAGUGGCCGAAAGGCAAAAUACAAAUGAAUCAAAACUUUCAACAACGGAUCUCUUGGUUCUG